rnacentral:rRNA from 1 species
GACGAACGCUGGCGGCGUGCUUAACACAUGCAAGUCGAACGGAAAGGCCCUUCGGGGUACUCGAGUGGCGAACGGGUGAGUAACACGUGGGUGAUCUGCCCUGCACUUUGGGAUAAGCCUGGGAAACUGGGUCUAAUACCGGAUAGGACUACGGCCUGCAUGGGUUGUGGUGGAAAGCUUUUGCGGUGUGGGAUGGGCCCGCGGCCUAUCAGCUUGUUGGUGGGGUGAUGGCCUACCAAGGCGACGACGGGUAGCCGGCCUGAGAGGGUGACCGGCCACACUGGGACUGAGAUACGGCCCAGACUCCUACGGGAGGCAGCAGUGGGGAAUAUUGCACAAUGGGCGCAAGCCUGAUGCAGCGACGCCGCGUGGGGGAUGACGGCCUUCGGUUGUAAACCUCUUUCAGUAGGGACGAAGCGUAAGUGACGGUACCUAUAGAAGAAGCACCGGCCAACUACGUG